CUUACUUCUGUCUUCAAUCUCCAGUUUCUACGAAGUAGAGAAUUUUGAAACAAGAAAAAACAGGGUUUUUCAGGCAAAGGAAAUGAAGUAAGUUAACACUUUUUGCAGGUCUCCUUCUAAAGGGAGUCCCACAUUGACUAAUUAAGGAAUUAAUCAUGGGUUUAUAAGUAAGGAAU